rnacentral:rRNA from 1 species
CAGUAGCCGCGGGAACACGAAGGGUGCAAGCGUUACUCGGAAUUACUGGGCGUAAAGCGUGCGUAGGUGGUGGUUUAAGUCCGUUGUGAAAGCCCUGGGCUCAACCUGGGAAUUGCAGUGGAUACUGGGUCACUAGAGUGUGGUAGAGGAUAGUGGAAUUUCCGGUGUAGCAGUGAAAUGCGUAGAGAUCGGAAGGAACAUCUGUGGCGAAGGCGACUAUCUGGGCCAACACUGACACUGAGGCACGAAAGCGUGGGGAGCAAACAGGAUUAGAUACCCGAGUAGUCCCUGUCUCUUAUAC